UGUAAUUUGCAGAGGAUGCUUCGGGUGCGGUCCCCAUCUAAGUGCCCUGGAACGGGCCGUCAUAGAGGGUGAGAAUCCCGUCUGGGAUGGGCGGCCGUGCCCGUGUGAAGCUCCUUCGACGAGUCGAGUUGUUUGGGAAUGCAGCUCUAAGUGGGUGGUAAAUUUCAUCUAAAGCUAAAUACUGGCCGGAGACCGAUAGCGCACAAGUAGAGUGAUCGAAAGAUGAAAAGCACUUUGAAAAGAGAGUUAAACAGCACGUGAAAUUGUUGAAAGGGAAGCGUUGUCCACCAGACUCGCCCGGGGGGGUUCAGCCGGCACGUGUGCCGGUGUACUCCUCUCCGGGCGGGCCAGCAUCGGUUUGGGCGGCUGGUGAAAGGCCCCGGGAAUGUAGCACCCUUCGGGGUGCCUUAUAGCCCGGGGUGCCAUACAGCCAGCCUGGACCGAGGCCCGCGCUUCGGCGAGGAUGCUGGCGUAAUGGUGGUCAACGGCCCGUCU
rnacentral:rRNA from 1 species